AGAUCUCUGCGGUAUGCUCGUGAAGUUGAUGGACUUGGAAAGGUGGUUGCACUGGACAAUGAUAAAGCCUCUGUUGAAGCUUGCAAGAGAAACAUUAAGUUCAAUGGUAGUGCAGCUUCCGAUAAAGUGGAAGCACACUUGGCUGAUGCUCGAGUUUACAUGCUUACUCAUCCAAAAGAGUUUGAUGUGGUAGAUCUCGACCCCUAUGGGUCACCUGCAAUAUUCCUUGACUCUGCUGUACAAGCUGUUGCUGAUGGAGGACUGUUGAUGUGCACAGCCACUGACAUGGCUGUACUAUGUGGGGCCAACGGUGAAGUUUGCUACUCAAAGUAUGGUUCCUACCCAGUCAAAGGCAAGUAUUGCCAUGAAAUGGCUUUGAGAAUCCUCCUUGCGUGCAUUGAGAGCCAUGCAAAUAGGUAUAAGCGUUUUAUCGUCCCAGUUCUCUCCGUGUUUAUGGAUUUCUAUGUCCGUGUUUUCGUUCGAGUAUUCACUUCAGCAAGUGAAAUAAAGAAUGCUCCUCUUAAACUUUCCUAUGUAUAUCAGUGUGUAGGCUGUGAUUCUUUCCAUCUUCAGUCUCUCGGGAGAACCGUUACCAAGGGUAAGAGUGUGAAGUAUGCACCUGGUAUUGGUCCUGUUGUUCCUCAAGAAUGUGGCGAUUGUGGGAAGAAAUUUAAUGUGGGUGGCCCAAUUUGGUCUGCUCCUAUACAUGAUCAAGACUGGGUUCUUUCUACAUUGGCAGACGUCAAAGCAAUGAAGGAUAGGUAUCCUGCGUACAAUAAGAUUACUUCAGUUCUGACUACUGUAUCUGAGGAGUUACACGAUGUACAACUGUUUUUCAGUCAACAUAACAUUACUGCAACUGUCAAAUGCACUCCCCUAUCUGCAGUUGUUUUCCGCUCUGCAGUUAUCAAUGCCGGAUAUCGUAUCUCUAGCACUCAUGUGAACCCACUAGGGCUAAAAUCCGAUGCCCCUUGGGAUGUUAUCUGGGACAUCAUGCGCUGCUGGGUGAGGAUACAUCCUAUCAAGGAACAGCCACAAGACUCUGCAGGAACAAUGAUCCUUUCAAAAUCUCCUAAACUAGAAGCGAACUUCUCGAGAGCAGUAGCUGCUGUCAGCAAUGCUCAAGCAAAGAAGGUUAAUCGGUUUCUUCCCAACCUGAGCGGUACUGGGGCCCGAAAGUUAGGGCUGGGAGGACGAUCACAAGCAAGCAUGCUUCUAUACUGGGCCACGAGGCGGUAAACGGGGCCAUUCGCCACGAAGACGGUAAUGGUUUGGUGGUAGACAAGCCUGCUCCAGGAACUGAAGAAGUGGUCAGCGCAGCUAAAAACAAUGAGUGUGUGACUGAAGACUGAAAUAUUAGCGGGUAAGUUCCGACCUGCACGAAGGCAUAACAACAUCCGCACUGUCUCGACCAGGGACUCAGCGAAAUUACAUUGGGGGUGAAGAUGCCCUCUACCCGCGGAAAGACGGAAAGACCCCAUGAACCUUUACUGCAACUUGGCAGUGAUUUUCGGGUUGUUCUGCGUAGGAUAGGUGGGAGCUUUGAAGCCGGGCUUCCGGGUUCGGCAGAGCCAACGUUGAAAUACCACCCUGAAUAAUCUGGAAAUCUAACCUGCGCCCAUGAUCUGGGCGAGGGACACUGCCUGGUGGGCAGUUUGACUGGGGCGGUCGCCUCCUAAAUUGUAACGGAGGCGUGCGACGGUUCCCUCAGGCUGAUUGGAAACCAGCCGUAGAGUGCAAACGCAUAAGGGAGCUUUACUGCGAGACUGACAAGUCGACCAGUUGCGAAAGCAGGUGUUAGUGAUCCGGUGGUCCCGUAUGGAAGGGCCAUCGCUCAUCGGAUAAAAGGUACUCUGGGGAUAACAGGCUGAUCGCGCCUGAGAGUUCACAUCGGCGGCGCGGUUUGGCACCUCGAUGUCGGCUCAUCGCAUCCUGGGGCUGGAGCAGGUCCCAAGGGUUUGGCUGUUCGCCAAUUAAAGCGGUACGCGAGCUGGGUUUAAAACGUCGUGAGACAGUUUGGUCCCUAUCUUCCGUGGGCGCAGGACACUUGAGAGGAGCUAUCCAUAGUACGAGAGGACCUGGAUGGACGAACCUCUGGUGCUCCGGUUGUCACGCCAGUGGCAUAGCCGGAGCACCGCAUAGACACCACCAUCCCCAUCGAGGACACGAUUGGCGAGCUCAAGAAGCUGGUGGAGGAAGGGAAAGUCAAGUACAUUGGGUUGUCG
rnacentral:rRNA from 1 species